UGAAGGGAUAGCUCAGUUGGUAGAGCAUGAGACUUUUAAUCUCAGGGUCAUGGGUUUGAGCAAGACUAGGGGCAAAG